AAAUUGAAGAGUUUGAUCAUGGCUCAGAUUGAACGCUGGCGGCAGGCCUAACACAUGCAAGUCGAGCGGUAGCACAGAGAGCUUGCUCUCGGGUGACGAGCGGCGGACGGGUGAGUAAUGUCUGGGAAACUGCCUGAUGGAGGGGGAUAACUACUGGAAACGGUAGCUAAUACCGCAUAACGUCGCAAGACCAAAGU
rnacentral:rRNA from 1 species